rnacentral:rRNA from 1 species
UACGUAGGGGGCAAGCGUUGUCCGGAUUUAUUGGGCGUAAAGAGCGUGUAGGCGGCCAGGUAGGUCUGCUGUGAAAACUCGAGGCUUAACCUCGAGCUGUCGGCGGAAACCAUCUGGCUAGAGUCCGGAAGAGGAGAAUGGAAUUCCCGGUGUAAGCGGUGAAAUGCGCAGAUAUCGGGAAGAACACCCGUGGCGAAGGCGGUUCUCUGGGACGGUACUGACGCUGAGACGCGAAAGCGUGGGGAGCGAACAGGAUAGAA